GAGUUUGAUCGUGGCUCAGAUUGAACGCUGGCGGCAUGCCUUACACAUGCAAGUCGAACGGCAGCAUGAUCUAGCUUGCUAGAUUGAUGGCGAGUGGCGAACGGGUGAGUAAUACAUCGGAACGUGCCCUGUAGUGGGGGAUAACUAGUCGAAAGAUUAGCUAAUACCGCAUACGACCUGAGGGUGAAAGUGGGGGACCGCAAGGCCUCAUGCUAUAGGAGCGGCCGAUGUCUGAUUAGCUAGUUGGUGGGGUAAAGGCCCACCAAGGCGACGAUCAGUAGCUGGUCUGAGAGGACGAUCAGCCACACUGGGACUGAGACACGGCCCAGACUCCUACGGGAGGCAGCAGUGGGGAAUUUUGGACAAUGGGCGAAUGCCUGAUCCAGCAAUGCCGCGUGUGUGAAGAAGGCCUCGGUU
rnacentral:rRNA from 1 species